rnacentral:tRNA from 1 species
GCCGGAGUGGUGAAAUUGGUAGACGCGCCGGACUCAAAAUCCGGUGUCCGCGAGGACGUGCCGGUUCGACUCCGGCCUCCGGCACAA